GAUGAAGAACGCAGCGAAAUGCGAUAAGUAAUGUGAAUUGCAGAAUUCAGUGAAUCAUCGAAUCUUUGAACGCAUCUUGCGCUCCUUGGUAUUCCUUGGAGCAUGCCUGUUUGAGUAUCAUGAGCAAAUCUCAAAGUCAAUUCCUUUUGUUAAUUCAAUUGGUUUUGCUUUGGACUUGGAGGUCUUGCAGAUUUUCACAGUCUGCUCCUCUUAAAUGCAUUAGCUGGAUCUCAGUAAUUAUGCUUGGUUCCACUCGGCGUGAUAAGUAUCACUCGCUGAGGACACUGUUAAAAAGGUGGCCAGGAAAAUACUGAUUGAACCGCUUCUAACGGUCUAUUAAGUUAGACAAUUACCCUUAAGUUUGAUCUCAAAUCAGGUAGGACUACCCGCUGAACUUAAGCAUAUAAUAAGCGGAGGA
rnacentral:misc_RNA from 1 species